rnacentral:rRNA from 1 species
AGCGAACGCUGGCGGCAGGCUUAACACAUGCAAGUCGAACGCCCCGCAAGGGGAGUGGCGGACGGGUGAGUAACACGUGGGAACGUACCCUUUGGUUCGGAAUAACUUGGGGAAACUCAAGCUAAUACCGGAUAAGCCCUUAUGGGGAAAGGUUUACUGCCGAAGGAUCGGCCCGCGUCUGAUUAGCUAGUUGGUGAGGUAAUGGCUCACCAAGGCGACGAUCAGUAGCUGGUCUGAGAGGAUGAUCGGCCACACUGGGACUGAGACACGGCCCAGACUCCUACGGGAGGCAGCAGUGGGGAAUAUUGGACAAUGGGGGCAACCCUGAUCCAGCCAUGCCGCGUGAGUGAUGAAGGCCUUAGGGUUGUAAAGCUCUUUUACCCGGGACGAUAAUGACUGUACCGGGAGAAUAAGCCCCGGCUAACUUCGUGCCAGCCGCCGCCGUAA